GUCUUUUUGUUAAAAAUUUAAGGUCUGGCCUGCUCAAUGAUAGAUUAAAUAGCUGCAGUAAAAUGACUGUACAAAGGUAGCAUAAUCAUUAGUUUUUUAAUUAAAAGCUGGAAUGAAGGGUUUAACGAAAAAAUUUCUGUCUCAAUUUAAUUUAAUUAGAACUUUAUUUUUUUAUUAAAAAGUUUAAAUAAGUUUAAAAGACGAGAAGACCCCAUAGAGUUUAAUAUUAUAUUAAGUUUUAUUUAAUUAUAUAAUUAAAGUAAGUAAUUAAUUUAAUAUUUUUUUGGGGUGAAAGAAAAAAUUAAUAAACUUUUUUUUUAUUAGAUCAUUUUUCUAUGAUUAAUUGAUCCAUUGAUUAUGAUUAUAAGAUUAAAUUACCUUGGGGAUAACAGCGUAAUUUUUUUUAAGAGAUCUUAUCGAUAAAAAAGUUUGCGACCUCGAUGUUGGAUUAAGAUAUAUUUAUAGUGAAGAAGCUAUAAAAUUAGGUCUGUUCGACCUUUAAAAUUUUACA
rnacentral:rRNA from 1 species